GGCCGACUAGCUCAGUUGGUUAGAGCGUCGUGCUAAUAACGCGAAGGUCUUGGGUUCGAUCCUCACGUUGGCCA
rnacentral:tRNA from 1 species